CGGCCGGGUUCUUGACGGGGAUUCAUUCGUGUCCAAAACCCCAUCUGCUGGAGUUUCGAACAGGAAGGAAUCCCCGUCAAGAACCCGGCCG